GGGUAGUUUGACUGGGGCGGUCUCCUCCUAAAGAGUAACGGAGGAGCACGAAGGUUGGCUAAUCCUGGUCGGACAUCAGGAGGUUAGUGCAAUGGCAUAAGCCAGCUUGACUGCGAGCGUGACGGCGCGAGCAGGUGCGAAAGCAGGUCAUAGUGAUCCGGUGGUUCUGAAUGGAAGGGCCAUCGCUCAACGGAUAAAAGGUACUCCGGGGAUAACAGGCUGAUACCGCCCAAGAGUUCAUAUCGACGGCGGUGUUUGGCACCUCGAUGUCGGCUCAUCACAUCCUGGGGCUGAAGUAGGUCCCAAGGGUAUGGCUGUUCGCCAUUUAAAGUGGUACGCGAGCUGGGUUUAGAACGUCGUGAGACAGUUCGGUCCCUAUCUGCCGUGGGCGCUGGAGAACUGAGGGGGGCUGCUCCUAGUACGAGAGGACCGGAGUGGACGCAUCACUGGUGUUCGGGUUGUCAUGCCAAUGGCACUGCCCGGUAGCUAAAUGCGGAAGAGAUAAGUGCUGAAAGCA
rnacentral:rRNA from 1 species